UUUGUUUUCACUUCUUUAUUCUUCUUUUUCCUUUUCACCUCUUCUAUUUCGUUCUUCUCCUGUCUUGAACAAAAUGCAUAACCAAAACGAAAUGAAGAUGGACUUGAAGACUGAAGCUGCAUUAGAGAUGGACUUGGAGACCCACGUAGGAGCUUCCACAAAGCCAAAAUGGAGAUGGGGCUGUGUCUAUAUCUUGGCGAGAGAAGACCACCUCUUAAUUUGUGUUUUCCCAGGCCAGCGAUACAUUUGUGACUUGUGAGGCCGAAGCGGUGCCAUCUCACGACAGUAAUUUGAAACACCGUCAUCCAAAAUAAGAAAACACGGGAUUUGGAAUCAUGGUCAGGGAUCGCUGUUUCUCAUUGUUUCAUUUGUAGAGUAGCAAUCAUGAUGCCCACCAACUGUUCGAUGAAAGGCCAAGGACAAAAUCUGCAGCAAUCUUUUGGUAGGGUGCAAUUAGAUCACAAGGUGUUCAAAAGCCCUUCUUUUGUCUUCGUGCACUUUGCCUCAUUACUUUCUUUCAACUUACAAAGCUCCAGCACACCAAGUAACCAAGCCUUAAUUGUUUUGGCUUGUGCAUAGGCAAUUAAGGCUUCUUUGUUUUUUUUUUUUUUGCGUAACACAGCAACCCCAAAACCAAAAGUUGGUUUAUUCUUUUAUAAUCAUACUUUUUACGUUUUGGUUGUUCUGGUGUGUUGUAAAGACCGGAUUAUAUGCUUGCUUUUGCCGAUUACGUGGCUCUCCAAAGAGGUGAGUUUGUCAUCUUUCAUCAUCUUUACUGAUGUAGAACAAACUAGAUCCCACAUCCCUUUUUCUUUUUCAUUUGCUAUGAACUGCAUGCUUGUAGCUCUUCGGUCAUUUGUUUUCCCUUUUAUUUUGGAAGAAAAACUCAGUGAGCUUGCUUUGAGUUUCAGAGCUUAUGGCCCAGAAGUUUAACAUCCGCUUGGCUUUGUUUGUUUUUUUUUCCUUUUAGAGCAGGUUCGGUAAAGCAUGUAGCUACGAUAUGGCUACGGAGACGGAGCUUCGGCAAGGCUUGUGGAGACAGAGCUCCGACAUAUUCAUCGGGACGCUGCCCGGCAUGGUCAUCGGGACGCUGCCCGGCAUGGUUCAUCGGGACGCUGCCCGGCAUGGUCAUCGGAGGCGCUACUCCGGCAUGAUAUUUUUUGUUCUUUUGUUUUUACUUUGGCAUGGCAUCGUUGAGAGGCCAGUGAACAUCCAAAGAGGAGGUGGAGCCUGUGAACAUUGAGGUGGAGCCUGUGAACAUUCAAAGAGAAGGUGGAGCAUGGAAGGGAGGAAAUCUCAACCUUUGUGUUGUCUUGAAUAUCUCCUCUGAACUUUGUUUUCCAAGCUGUUUUCUUGCCUUCGCUGCUUCCUCCCUCUGCAAUUCCACACUGCUGUGCUCCCGACGUUGUUGUCCUCCGUCCUCCCGUUUUUCUUUUCAUGUAGCACUUAUAUAGUGAACUAUAGAUGAGUUUGGCUUGUGUACAACAUUGAAAGAUUUAGAGUUCAACUUGAAGUGAACUCGUUGGAUAUUUUAUCUCCUUUCUCUUUCGACGUGAAGACUGCAACUUCUUUUUCAA